UGCCAGCCGCCGCGGUAAUACGAAGGGUGCUAGCGUUGUUCGGAAUUACUGGGCGUAAAGAGCAUGUAGGCGGAUGAAUUAGUCAGUGGUGAAAUCCUACAGCUCAACUGUAGAACUGCCAUUGAUACUGUUAAUCUUGAGUUUGGUUGAGGUAGGCGGAAUGUGUCAUGUAGCGGUGAAAUGCUUAGAUAUGACACAGAACACCGAUUGCGAAGGCAGCUUACUAAACCAAUACUGACGCUGAGGCACGAAAGCGUGGGGAGCGAACAGGAUUAGAUA
rnacentral:rRNA from 1 species